rnacentral:tRNA from 1 species
GCCCUCGUAGCUCAAUGGUAGAGCGCGUCACUAGUAACAUGAUCGUGAUGACGAGGUCGUCGGUUCGAUUCCGCCCGAGGGCA